ensembl:lncRNA
GCAGCUCCUGUUAGAGACUUCUUGAUAGAAAAUGUGAUUUAAAGUCCCCUAAUAUAGUUACCAUGCUGUUCUCCUACUCUAUUCCACCACCAGUUUAUGGGGAUACUUAGCUUGAGCUUACUGCAGUCAUGUGAGAAAAGAUGGAAAGAAACAGCUCAAAGGGAGUAAGAGAAGGACUAGUUUAUGCUACUGUCUGUUCUUUCCACUUAUUCACAGAAGACUCCCAGGAGAAAAACAUAUUUGGAAAUUAAUAACAUGCAGCAGACAGAAUAUUAUUUGGAUACAGUCAAUUCACAUUUAUAUUUUAAUAUGAUAGAAAGAUAGGAAAUGGACAUACAUUUUAUACAGUUCUUUAAGUGCUCUACAGCACAAGUAAACUAUUAACUAUAGGUUACAUAGGAUCAAGGUCAGUGCGACACUCCAACAUGGAUAGAGGUCCCUAGACCCAUGGCAUGGGCUGAUAUAAACAUCACUAUGUAGCAAUAAUGGAAUUAGCCCCACUGCAGAUCUUUUGUUUACAAAUUGUUAUAGCACCAUUUAUUUGUGUUGUGCCUACAAGUAUGGCUUUCUAUAAUUCUUCGUGCCCAAAGAGAAAACUUUCCCAGUUCAGAUGCAGAAGAAAAUACAAUUUACCAGACAGUAAAAGAUUAUUCCUCCAGUAACCAUCAUCACGUUUUAGCCUGGUUCCAUCAUCUCAAACAUGGUACUAGCAGGAGCUAAAAAAUAUGGACCCUUAACCCUCCUAGAGAGCAGCCUAGUGGAAGCAAACAGAAGAAUGAAUAGAAAAGGGCUUUUAUCUUUUGUUUAAAACCUUUUAAUAAAGUGAUGAUAGAAGAGAUGGCAUGGGGAGCACUAAGGGGCUGCAUCAAAGAACCCACCAGUAUGGGAAGGCACAGGCCCAGGGUGACCACAGCAAGCAACCUGCUUGUCCCAGAGAUGGCCAGGCCAAGCAGCAAGGGCAUGUGGCACUACACAGGCAAACACAGAGCAUCCUGUAGCACUGACUCUUAUCCCUUCUUUUCUUCUGCAAUAACCCAGCAAAUAUCAAUCCAUGUUUCCCAACAGUACCUCUUAGAUCCAUUUCCCAAUAGCUUUGCUUAAUAAAAAGUCAGGUGUCCCCUUUCCCAGUCCUGAACACUUUCUGCUCCCACACUGUGGAGCCUCAGUUGCCCCAGCCUAUGUGCUAUGCAGGUAGCCAGUUCACAAAAUCAGUUACAGGAAAACACUCAGAAAGUUUGCUUUGGAUUUUUCCUAAAUAUGAGAUUUUAAGAAACAUUUGUCCAUAAGUGGCCAUAAAGAUCCCAAGAGGAGACAAAAAAUUGAAAGUAUUCAGACCCAUAUUGAGGGCUUUUCUUUUGGCAAGGGAACUUUCUUCAGACAAGUCUGUCACUUGACAGUUUCCUUCCUAAUCAGACAAUAUGUUUUGCUCUUUGUGUCAUACUGACAUCCAAGGUUUUAAUUAAUCCCACCUUAGGUCAAGACAGAAGUUCCUUAUUUGAACUGACUUGCUUGGGCUCUGGACAGAAGGGUCUGUCUGUGUUCUUUUGUGUUCAUCUCCACAGCAACCAUCUUUUAAACAUAUAAUGUAACAUGUAGGCAACAGACUUGAACUGAGUCUCUUGAUUAGAUGGAUUUUUAUUAGGCUUUGAAGAACUUUGGGAAACAAUAUAUAGUGUCAAUACUAUAAAAAUCACUGAGAACUUUUAGUCACUAUCAGCUGACAACUAAACAGGUGUGCAUUUACUUCAGCUUUAUCCUGCUAAGUAUCAGACUUGAACACAUCUCACAAAAAGGCAUGGAAUUUAACUGAUUCUUAUGUAAAGGAUGACUACAAAGUCUGCAUGGACUGGGUAUUCCACAUAACCCUGCAAAGUGAAAUAAGGAGAUACUUAAUCAGAGAGAAAACUCUUCUGCACACCAAUAAGUUUCAGCUUUAUAAACUAAACCCAUCAAUUUGCAGUUAAAUAUGACUAUUUCACAGUAGAUGCAAGUAGGACCCUAACUUUUGUUUGUAGCUAGACCAUUAGAAACAACAUAGCAAAAUGGCUAAUUUUUGUCAUUUGUUAAAAACACCCAUUAUGUAGCAAGAAGAUCGACACUA